rnacentral:lncRNA from 1 species
UGGCUGUUAAAAAACCCUGCCUCUUAAGGAAAACAGUGGAACAUGACAGUUGGGAACUACUCAGAAGGGUCUUAACUGUAAUGCGAACCUUGUCAAAAAGAUGAUGUUUACCAUAGGAGGCACUUUACAUGACUAACUUUCACAGGCUAGGAGACAGUUUAGAUCCAGUUUGAAACAAAAUGAAAAGAAGAAAAGAAAGCUUUUACUUUUCCCCCCUCUUCCAAGAGCUACAAAAAAAUGUUUUUCAAAUGAACACAGGCAAGCAUGUGUCACCCGUGAUGGAUUGCUCACUCCAGUUCAGCUUUUGAUAAUUAAGUUCUACUCUUCACAGACGAAGGCUAUUCUGCCAAAUCCAAAAUACCCUGGAAAAUGUAAAAUUAGAACCUUAUGAGAAAAAAGAUUAAAAGAGCUAAAUAUAUAUGU